GAUGAACGCUGGCGGCGUGCCUAAUACAUGCAAGUCGAGCGAACAGACGAGGAGCUUGCUCCUCUGACGUUAGCGGCGGACGGGUGAGUAACACGUGGAUAACCUACCUAUAAGACUGGGAUAACUUCGGGAAACCGGAGCUAAUACCGGAUAAUAUAUUGAACCGCAUGGUUCAAUAGUGAAAGACGGUUUUGCUGUCACUUAUAGAUGGAUCCGCGCCGCAUUAGCUAGUUGGUAAGGUAACGGCUUACCAAGGCAACGAUGCGUAGCCGACCUGAGAGGGUGAUCGGCCACCCUGGAACUGAACCACGGUCAAGACUCCUACGGGAGGGAGCAGUAGGGAAUCUUCCGCAAUGGGCGAAAGCUUGACGGAGCAACGCCGCGUGAGUGAUGAAGGUCUUCGGAUCGUAAAACUCUGUUAUUAGGGAAGAACAAAUGUGUAAGUAAAUAUGCACGUCUUGACGGUACCUAAUCAGAAAGCAACGGCUAACUACGUG
rnacentral:rRNA from 1 species